rnacentral:tRNA from 1 species
GCCAACGUAGCUCAGUGGUUAGAGCAAUCGUUUCAUAAGCGAUAGGUCGGUGGUUCAACUCCACCCGUUGGCACAA